GCGCGUUUCGGCCACGCGCGGGCGCGGAGUUGGCGUGGGCGUCGGCAGUUUGUGGAAAGUACGUAGCAGCGUGUAUGGCCCGCAGUGCUGGAAGGCGUCUGGCCGGAUGGAAGCCUCGUUAUGCUGAACUCUUACGGAUUCUAAAGGCGAUUGGCACCGAGACGUGAAAAGCGGCUUCUCUUUCUGCUUAGGAGUUGCUGCAGGCAGGACUCACUACUGUGCCUCCUGUCUUUCGCCCAGGGAGUGGCCUCUGCUCCCUUCCACAAAGAUUUUUGGAAUAAGAUACUUCUGUAUACCUAGGCGCAUGGGAAGGAAUUGAAGGCAAAAGCGGUCAUUUUAAGUUGAAAAUCUCCAAGUAAGCAAUAUUAGACAACAUAACGGAGCCCUUAAUUUUCGCAUACCCUCCUGUGACCAUCCAAAGAGCGUCAUAUUUAAGAAAAUCUUGAGCACGCACUGGUCUGACGUUCACUGACCCUGAGCAGCGGUGGCUGGUGAGAGCACAGUGACCAGACACAGCAACCGCACAGCAAGUGCGUGGAUUCCGUCUCUCUGUGUGAAAACUUAGUUUUCAUUUGAGUUUCAAAAACACUUAUCAACUGCAGUUUGUAAACUUGUUUAGAAAGUACAAAUAUUGGCUCAAACAUAAAAUAUUUUUCUGAAUUUGAAUAAAAACUUGAAACUGAA